CCCAGUUCAGUGAUUAGAUUUGUAGUUAACUUGUAAACACUACACAUUAUAUUUCCAUUCUGUAGUUUAUAAGAAAGAUUAUUUCAUGAAUCUUUAAUGGGAAAAGGUAUUAGACUGCAGAAAUGUUCGGUGACGAGAUAUUUCAGAAACAAUUAUCCACCAUUAUCGAAAUAAUGGUUGCAGCGUCAGUUUCAGAGAUUGGCAAAAUCUUCGACGAAUGUUCUGCUGCUGUUAUGCCUCUAAAGUUGGUCCAGCAGAAUCAGGAAAGUAGUUUGCUUAAGAGCAAACUUCAACGUGUGCACAGAAUCAAGACAAGGCAGUUUUGCUCGUUCAUGGAGAUGUUGGGUAAAACAUCAAUGGAAAAAAUGCUAAUGUUAAUAAAUGUGAGCAUGGUCAAAACUGAGAAGACUGCCACAGUCGUGACAAAACCAAGAGACUGUCUUCAUUUCCAUAAUUACUGCACAGUCCUUCGCUCUGAAAAGUCUCGCUGGAUUGAGGAUGACCUUUGCCACCAAUCCUCACCGGUGUCCGACUCAAAUGGGCAGACGAACACAGGACCAAAGUCCAGCAGGGAUGGAGGACAGUACGAAGGGGAAGCUUCUGCAGAGGUGGCUGGGGGGACAGAUGGACAUGAUGCGGAAUUGCUCUUUGAAUUUGAUCAUCAGGAAGAAGUUCACCCUAAUCCCCAGCCCUCCGACCCCCAGCCCUCCGACCCCCAGCCCUCCGACCCCCAGCCCUCCGACCCCCAGCCCUCCGACCCAGAUAAAUGUAAUGGUCAGCCCUUGAACCAGGAGCAAACCCCUGGGAGGAUUGGGGACAUCCAGAAUGAGACCUGUGGCAAGCUGUUCAGUUUAUCUUCGUCCUUAUAUUAUCAUCAGAGGACGGUUCACAGGAAUCCCAAAGCAGACCCAUCAAAUGAGAAGUAUUGCAGUGAAACCUGUGGCAAGCUGUUCUAUUCAACUUCAUCCUUAUUCAAUCAUCGGAAGACUCAUGCUGACAAGGCAUUUGGCUGUCAUGUGUGCAGCAAAGCAUUUCGAGAGAUAGCGAAUUUAAAAAGACAUGUGAACGUACAUGUGAGAAAAGGCCAGGUUACUGUAGAAAAAGCAUUUCUAUGUGGUGUAUGUCAUAAGAGUUUCUCACGUCCGUGCAAUCUCAGAGAUCACAUGACCAUUCAUACUGGAGUGAAACGUUUCAGCUGUAGAAUAUGCUCCAAGAGUUUCCAUCUUUCAAACAGUCUCAAAGAUCACAUGACUUUACAUACCGGAGAGAGACCUUAUGUCUGUGGUCUAUGCGACAAGAGUUACUGUCGUGCAAGACAGCUCAAAGCACACGCAUUUGUCCACACUGGCGAGAAACCUUUCACCUGUGAUGUAUAUGGCAAGCGUUUCCAUCUCCCGCGCUCUUUUGAAAGACAUAAAACCAGCCAUACUACACAAAAACCUCCCUGUAAAACUUGUGGCAAAUCCUUCAGCGAUGCUAGUGCUCUCCAGCGACAUAUGGCCAUCAUCCACAGUGGAAAAAGAAAGCGCCACUACCUCGGUGAAGACUGUGGCAAACAUUUUUCUCAGGCAAAAAAACUGAAAUGGCAUAUGUGUAUACACGCCAGUGAAAAACAUUUUGUCUGUGACGUGUGUGGGGAGAACUUAAGCAGUCCAGUGACUCUCAGAAGACACAACCAUUCUCACGCGGGGCAAAAGUCACAUUUGUGUACAACGUGUAGUAAAGGUUUUUCCCAGUUAUUCACCCUCAGGAUACAUCAACGCGGUCAAACUGGGAGGAAGCUGUACUUGUGUGGUAUCUGCGGGAAGAGCUUCACCACGUAUGCCUACAUCAAGAAACACAAGGAGAUUCACCUGCCCAGGCACCUUUCUUCAAGACCGCCACGGGAGAAGUUUGCACACCUCUGUAGUCACUGUGGUAAAGGCUUCCACGAAAAAACUAUUCUGAACCUACACAUGGGCACUCACACAGGAGAUAAACCAUUCACCUGUCAAGUCUGUGGAAAAUGUUUCACUUUUAAGGCUACUCUUACUGGCCACAUGCGCACUCACAAGGGACAGAGGCCGUUCAAAUGUGCCGUUUGUGGUAAAUGUUUUGCAUUUAGGUCUGUUCUGAUAAACCAUGAACUAAUUCACCCUGGGGAGAGACCAUAUGCUUGUGAUGACUGUGGCAAGCAUUUCAAACAGAGAUAUCAUUUAGCAUCUCACCAACGUGUGCAUACUGGCAUCAAACCCUUUGUGUGCAACAAAUGUGGAAAUGCAUAUGCCUGGAGACAGAAUCUCAAAUUUCAUAAGUGCAGGGUUAAAUAGAAAACGGACCAUGGUGUGAGAGUAUUCUGUUUUGUUUCAGAUUUUGAUACUACCUUUUCUUGUAUUCUGAUUUAUUCGUUCCCUUAUAUAUUUAUUUUUAUUUUUCUGUUGCACUCUUAUAGUACUGAAUAGAGUACGAGUAAGUCGUCUAUAAUGAAGUGCAGCCAAAUAAAGUGAGUGAAAUGUUUUUUGAUCAAUCUCCUUUGAUUUAAAGCAAGUCAAACCAUUAGCGGAUAUAUGGGAUUGUACUGUUCCAUUCUAGACUGGCAAUAAUAAUUAGGUGUGUUCAGGUGGAUCCAAAACACUAUAUUCGGCAUCUUGGGUGUUUGUGACUACGCGAAUAAACUAAAAACCUAGAAUUAUCAGCAUUUAAGGAAAUUCCACUCGUAAUGGGAAUACGCUUCCAGUGGGUGGCGCUGGUGUUAUUUGUCUUUUCUCGGUAGAUUUGCGAAUAUUCUACCAUAGAAGAAAUCGAUUCAUUCCCUCGGUUCCCCUUUCACAAACAAGACGAAAGUCCUCCAGUAACUUUUUUCCUGCACAACUUGAGACAGGUCAACAACCGAGUCCACGUAACCGCAGAGAACCGACCG